GAAUUCACUAGUGAUUCAGGCCUAACACAUGCAAGUCGAACGAGGGUUAUCGGUUGAAGUUUUCGGACGGAAACUGAUAAUUCCUAGUGGCGGACGGGUGAGUAACGCGUGGGGAACCUGCCCCAUUCCGGGGGAUACCAGUUGGAAACGACUGUUAAUACCGCAUAAGCGCACAGCAUUGCAUGAUGCAGUGUGAAAAACUCCGGUGGAAUGGGAUGGCCCCGCGUCUGAUUAGCCAGUUGGCAGGGUAACGGCCUACCAAAGCGACGAUCAGUAGCCGGCCUGAGAGGGCGACCGGCCACAUUGGGACUGAGACACGGCCCAAACUCCUACGGGAGGCAGCAGUGGGGAAUAUUUCAAAGGGGGGGAAACCCUGAUGCAGCGA
rnacentral:rRNA from 1 species